rnacentral:lncRNA from 1 species
UUCCGGCUUGCCUUCCGGUCCCCGUGAGCCACGAUGGAGCCCGGCGCCGACCUGAAGCGGAGCCUCGACGAGCUGGAGCAGGACGAGGAGACGGAUUCGGGCUCCGACUCGGAGGAGCUGGUCGGCCCCGGCCGCCGGCGAGGCCUGCGUGGAGACUUCGCCGCGGGGUUCGUCUUCGCCGAGAAGGAGUUCGCUCGGCCCGGCGCCGGCGCCUGGGCGGAGGCCCUGAGCCAGCUGAAGGGCAAGAGGCCAGUCACGAGCCUGGAUGAGAAGAUUGCAGCAGUGAGGAGAAAAAGGAAAGCUCAGGAGAAGCAGACUGAUGAAGGAACCGCACAGAAGGAUGAUGGAGGGCCUAUGCCUGAGAAUGAAGAUAAGGCAAAUGAUGAAGAUGACGGUGAGGAGGAAGAUUUGGGGUCUGAAUAUUCCUCAGCAGACGAGAGCAUCUUCACGAAAGCAGGUAACUAGCAAAGUGUGUGUCGGUGUGACGCUGUGGUACAUAGGCA